GAGGAUUUAGCUCAGUGGUAGAGCGCUUGCCUAGCAAGUGCAAGGCCCUGGGUUCAGUCCUCA
rnacentral:tRNA from 1 species